GGGCCGCACGCGCGCUACACUGACGGAGCCAGCGAGUAAUACCUUGGCCGAGAGGUCUGGGUAAUCUUGUGAAACUCCGUCGUGCUGGGGAUAGAGCAUUGCAAUUAUUGCUCUUCAACGAGGAAUUCCUAGUAAGCGCAAGUCAUCAGCUUGCGUUGAUUACGUCCC
rnacentral:rRNA from 1 species